rnacentral:lncRNA from 1 species
UUUAAUAACUUUUGGUUGCAAGUUGAUUUUAUUUGAUAUUCAAAUGGCUAUUUCAACUUGUUACUUGGUAUCAUCUGCUUGGAAAAUUGUUUCCAACCUUUUACUCUGAGGUAGUGUCUGCCCUUAUCACUGAGGUGCAUUUCCUGUAUGGAACAAAAUUCUGGGUCCUGUUUAUUUAUGCAGUCUGUUAGUAUAUGUCUUUUUAUUGGGGAAUUGAGUCCACUGAUGUUAAGAGAUAUUAAGGUGUUGGGGCAGAUGUUGGGUCCUCCUCACCUCUGAUAUAUGAUCCUGGGUAUGUUGGAGCACCUGGGAGUGGAGCUUCCUUUGGAUGUUGUGGGUGUGAGUCUAGCUAUGGAGUUCACACCGAAUGUUUGCUCAGGGCACCGGCCCAGACUAGAAGGAUAACUCUUGCCUUACUUGAUUUUUUUUUAAUGUUCAUUUCAAUCUUUUAAAAUUGAUUGUUUUUAAUCAUCAUCAUUUUGAAACUCUACAGAUAGUCCCAGACUGACUACAAUGAUUUGACUUACAACUUUUAGGCAUUUAGUAGAAUCUGUGCUUAGAAUUUUGACCUUUUCUCUAGAUGUUGAUGUUUAAUCUGAUUCUCUCAGAGCUGGACAGAAGCAAGAAGCUCUCAGUAAGUAUUAAGAUCAUGAUUGUCUACAGUGUUCCAUGUUCCUAAAAUAGAAUGUUCAGUUGGAUAGAUGCAUUCCGGACAUUUCUACUGAACUGAUUUUCUGCUUACAUUAGAUUGAGACACAAUCUCCAUCAUAAGUGAAGGGCCAUCUCUACGUCCUUAGAAAUUCCUCUUCCUGAGCUUUUCAACUCACUUUUUAUUCCUUUUUAGAGUCCUUUCUUUAUGCUCCACCCCAAAGGGUUAGUUGGUAUCACCUUUAUACUCUUUAUUUUCUAUUUCUUGCCAUUUCUAGAGAUUCUCAACUUCAUGUCUCUGGACGGUAUAUAUCACUAAGGGUUAGUAUUUAUCACCUUUGAACUCUUAUUCCUCUAUUUCUUGAAGUUUCUAGAGAUUUACCUUCUCCAUUCAAUAAAUCCAGACCAAUUCUGUCCCAGAAAUGUAGACUGUACUCCAUUCAUCCUGCUGUUGCCUUGCUGAAGCCAUUCAGAGCUUAUUCUCACUCCAUUGCUUCAGGUUAUCAUCUUAAAAUGUGACUUCACACUGCUUUCAUAACUCAUAAGUAUGGCACAUGCAAUAUUUUACAGCCUGAUAACUACCAAAUCCUCAGUCUGAUCACUACUGGUUUUCCACCUGGAUUUCAUUUUGCUACACCAUCUUAUUUUAUAGCAUUUUAUUUUAUUUUAUUUUAUUUUAUUUUAUUUUAUUUUAUUUUAUCUUAUUUUAUUUUAUGGGUGUUUUAUAUGUGUGUCAUCUGUAUGCUUGGUGCUCUUGUAGGCCAGAACAGAGAAUUGGAUCCCCUGGUAUUAGAGUUAGAGAUGGUUGUAACCUACUAUAUGGAUACCAGGACUCAAACUCAGGUUCUCUGAAGAAGCAGCCAGUGAUCUUAUCCAUGGAACCAUCAUACAAGUUUCUUAAAAGCAUCAGCUUAUUUCACAUUUGCUCAUUUUUCUGUAUGGGCUUGCAAGUGAUUUGUGGUAGCCAUAGAUUCAUUUUGAAUGAAUGAGUCAAAGC